AGAAAUGAUUUCUUGUAACGAAAGCCGGAUAUUGUCACGCAAAACUCAAUUUCUGGUAACGAAACGAAAGAUUUGUUACGAAAAGAGAAUUUUCGUUACAAAAGGUCCAAUUUUCGGUAACAAGAGAAAAGCGUAGUUACAUAAAAUAAAUAAUCGUUACCAAAAGAAUUCUUUUUCGUGACAAAAAAAUAACAUUCAUUACUAAUAAGGGGAUUUCAUCGUUCUCACAAAUACGAUAGCAAGGGGAAAACCCAAACCCAGCCAAAAAUUGCUCCCAGCCCUGACACCUUCCAUUGAUUUUUUUCGUUUCUUUGCAAUUAUUUUUCCAAAUUUUGAGAUCUCUGUCGAUUAUUUGAUUCCCCGUCUCUGUAAUUUUCGCAAUUAGGUUUCGAUUCUGUUCAAGCCAACCUCCGGCGAAUCGUCUCAAUUAGGUUUCGAUUAUGUUCAAACCAAGCUCCGGCGAAUUGUCUCCGGCCGCGAACAGCUCAAAAUCGCCUUCGAUCCGCUCCAUUGCCAGAUUAGAACUGGUUUGCUCGAGUUCUUAUAAUAAGACUCCUGAUUAAUUGCUUGGUGGUCACAAUUCAGUGGAAAUCAGUGAGCAUACACGACAAUUGGACCUCAAACAUCUAAAAUUUAUGUUUCCAGGUUAGGUUUACAGGUUUAUUUUAUGGUUUAAUAAUAUGUAUAUAUGUGCAUUCAUAGAGAUAUUCAAAUUCGGGAUUUAUUGUUGAAGGACUUGUCUGGAAAAUAAAAAAAAUGUUGAAGUUCUCGUUGUUUGAUUCGUGUUUCAUUUUGGAAUUCUGUUAUUUAUAAUCCGGGAACUUGGCGGGGCAACGACAUGUUAAAAUUUGUGUGAAUUGGUUCGUUCUUUAAUGGUAUCUUCCGUUGCACCUUAAAUGUGUUUGUGUUUUUCUCUUUACAGUUAUUUAUGGGAUAAAUAGAAUUGGUUCGUUCUUUGUAUUACAGUACUACAUUCUGUUUUCCAUCAUAAGGGCAAUCUGGGUUUUGUAUGUUUUACUUGGCAUUUUACUCUUAACAGUAUAAAGCUUUACUCUCAUGUAGGCUUUCAUAUGCCGUCCAUUAUACGUGCAAGAGUAAUGAAAAUGAAUCUUUGCAUAAUUCUAUAUUUAUAUUCCUUUCCCUGGAGCCUAUUUUAUCUAUUGCAUGGAUUCUGUAUUAGUUGAUUGUAAAGUUUUGCACGAGUUUGAGCUUUCGUUCGUCUUUUUGUUUGCAUUUAUAUUUCAAAUCAAUUGCUAAUAGAAAAGGAAGUUCUUCUAUUAUGCUAUUACAACAUUGUCUCUCAAUUGAUUAGCCUUUAAGCAUUUCUCUGCCAUUGCACAACUUGUAACACUAAUUGUGUGGUUACUGCAGAUUGAGAUUAUAUACAACUUCGGGCUGAGGACAAUGACUAAGUAGGGUCAUCAUCACUGAAAAAUAACAAGAGAACAUAUAUAUAAAACGGAGUUGAUGUGAAGAAAUACAAGGUGUACGAGAAGAGACGAAGGAGUUGAUUAUAAUGUUAUUGGAGUAAAUACGAUAGACAGUGCGGUAUGAAGUUUUAGAACUUAGCUUGAAUUUUGAUCAUAUUAGCCAUACACUUUGAAAUAUAUUGCUACAUGUCAUCUUAUUUUACUUUUGAAACUUAUAUAUUUUCUAUUGAAAGAUGAAUUUUUUUUUUUUCUAGUUGGGAUAUAUUUUUUUUAAUUGUAUAUAUGAUUUUUGAGGCAAUUUAUACAACUUUAUUUCAGGUU